CUGCGAAUGGCUCAUUAUAUAAGUUAUCGUUUAUUUGAUAAUACUUUACUACUUGGAUAACCGUGGUAAUUCUAGAGCUAAUACAUGCUAAAAAUCCCGACUUCGGAAGGGUUGUAUUUAUUAGAUUAAAAACCAAUGCCCCUCGGGGCUCUCUGGUGAAUCAUAAUAACUAGUCGAAUCGACAGGCCUUGUGCCGGCGAUGGCUCAUUCAAAUUUCUUCCCUAUCAACUUUCGAUGUUUGGGUCUUGUCCAAACAUGGUGGCAACGGGUAACGGAGGGUUAGGGCUCGACCCCGGAGAAGGAGCCUGAGAAACGGCUACUACAUCCAAGGAAGGCAGCAGGCGCGCAAAUUACCCAAUCCCGACACGGGGAGGUAGUGACAAUAAAUACUGAUACAGGGCUCUUUUGGGUCUUGUAAUCGGAAUGAGUACAAUUUAAAUCCCUUAACGAGGAACAAUUGGAGGGCAAGUCUGGU
rnacentral:rRNA from 1 species